rnacentral:rRNA from 1 species
GAGUUUGAUCCUGGCUCAGAGCGAACGCUGGCGGCAUGCUUAACACAUGCAAGUCGCACGGUCAGCAAUGGCAGUGGCGGACGGGGUGAGUAACACGUAGGAAUCUAUCUCUGGGUGGGGGACAACAGUGGGAAACUACUGCUAAUACCGCAUGAUACCUGAGGGUCAAAGGCGUAAGUCGCCUGGAGAGGAGCCUGCGUCUGAUUAGCUUGUUGGUGGGGUAAAGCCUACAAGGCUACGAUCAGUAGCUGGUCUGAGAGGAUGAUCAGCCACAUUGGGACUGAGACACGGCCCAAACUCCUACGGGAGGCAGCAGUGGGGAAUAUUGGACAAUGGGCGAAAGCCUGAUCCAGCAAUGCCGCGUGUGUGAAGAAGGUCUUCGGAUUGUAAAGCACUUUUGGCAGGGACGAUGAUGACGGUACUGCAGAAUAAGCCCGGCUAACUUCGUGCCAGCCG